rnacentral:tmRNA from 1 species
CCGCUUGAACCGGAGCCCCGAAGCGCUUACUUUUGGUACGUCCCCUCGGGGAAUAUGGCGAUAAACGCGCUCGUAAUAAACGGCUCGGACCCGGGGGCGGUACCCGGCGGCUCCACCAAAAAUCCCGCAUUGGGGGAUCAUGGGGCCGAAAUAGGAUCGACGGACGUCUAAAGGGGUUAGCUUUUGCUCGGUGAGGUACCACCGUUAUCGGUCCGUUAAGCAUAAUUGCCAAUGACAAUCGUGCUCCGGUGGCCGUCGCUGCGUAAUGCAGUGACCAAUACCGAAAUCUAAGCCCAUGCCUCUAGCAAGGUCUGGCGGGGUUCGCAGGUACCUGGCAACAGAAACCUGCACC